rnacentral:rRNA from 1 species
UGGGGAAUAUUGCACAAUGGAGGGAACUCUGAUGCAGCGACGCCGCGUGAACGAAGAAGGCUUUCGAGUCGUAAAGUUCUUUUAUAUGGGAAGAUAAUGACGGUACCAUAAGAAAAAGCCCCGGCUAACUACGUGCCAGCAGCCGCGGUAAUACGUAGGGGGCUAGCGUUGUCCGGAAUCACUAGGCGUAAAGGGUUCGCAGGCGGAAAGGCAAGUCAGGUGUAAAAGGCAGUAGCUUAACUACUGUAAGCAUUUGAAACUGCAUAUCUUGAGAAGAGUAGAGGUAAGUGGAAUUUUUAGUGUAGCGGUGAAAUGCGUAGAUAUUAAAAAGAAUACCGGUGGCGAAGGCGACUUACUGGGCUCAUUCUGACGCUGAGGAACGAAAGCGUGGGUAGCAAACAGG